GAUGAACGCUGGCGGCGUGCCUAAUACAUGCAAGUCGAGCGAACAGAUGAGAAGCUUGCUUCUCUGAUGUUAGCGGCGGACGGGUGAGUAACACGUGGGUAACCUACCUAUAAGACUGGGAUAACUCCGGGAAACCGGGGCUAAUACCGGAUAAUAUUUUGAACCGCAUGGUUCAAUAGUGAAAGACGGUUUCGGCUGUCACUUAUAGAUGGACCCGCGCCGUAUUAGCUAGUUGGUAAGGUAAUGGCUUACCAAGGCGACGAUACGUAGCCGACCUGAGAGGGUGAUCGGCCACACUGGAACUGAGACACGGUCCAGACUCCGACGGGAGGCAGCAGUAGGGAAUCUUCCGCAAUGGGCGAAAGCCUGACGGAGCAACGCCGCGUGAGUGAUGAAGGUCUUCGGAUCGUAAAACUCUGUUGUUAGGGAAGAACAAAUUUGUUAGUAACUGAACAAGUCUUGACGGUACCUAACCAGAAAGCCACGGCUAACUACGUGCCAGCCGCCGCGGUAA
rnacentral:rRNA from 1 species